rnacentral:siRNA from 1 species
AAGAGAGAAAUUUGUGAGAUGGGU